rnacentral:tRNA from 1 species
GGGGAUUUAGCUUAGUGGUAGAGCGCUUGCCUAGCAAACGCAAGGCCCUGGGUUCAGUCCCCA